rnacentral:piRNA from 1 species
UAGAAUACAAUAUGACGAGGUUAAUAAUAGC